GACAGAGGGUGCAAACGUUGCUCGGAAUCACUGGGCGUAAAGGGCGCGUAGGCGGGAAUGUAAGUCGGGCGUGAAAUCCCCAGGCUCAACCUAGGAACUGCACUCGAAACUGCGUUUCUUGAGUAUCGGAGAGGAAAGCGGAAUUCCUGGUGUAGAGGUGAAAUGCGCAGAUAUCAGGAGGAACACCAAUGGCGAAGGCAGCACUCUGGGACGUGACUGACGCUGAGACGCGAAAGCGUGGGGAGCAAACAGG
rnacentral:rRNA from 1 species